UACGUAGGGUGCGAGCGUUGUCCGGAAUUAUUGGGCGUAAAGAGCUCGUAGGCGGUUUGUUGCGUCUAUCGUGAAAACCUGCAGCUUAACUGUGGGCUUGCGGUGGAUACGGGCAGACUUGAGUUCGGUAGGGGAGAAUGGAAUUCCCGGUGUAGCGGUGAAAUGCGCAGAUAUCGGGAGGAACACCGGUGGCGAAGGCGGUUCUCUGGGCCUUACCUGACGCUGAGGAGCGAAAGCGUGGGGAGCGAACAGG
rnacentral:rRNA from 1 species